CACGUAGGCGGAUACUUAAGUUAGGGGUGAAAUCCCGAGGCUCAACCUCGGAACUGCCUCUGAUACUGGGUAUCUCGAGUAUGGUAGAGGUGAGUGGAAUUCCGAGUGUAGAGGUGAAAUUCGUAGAUAUUCGGAGGAACACCAGUGGCGAAGGCGGCUCACUGGACCAUUACUGACGCUGAGGUGCGAAAGCGUGGGGAGCAAACA
rnacentral:rRNA from 1 species